rnacentral:rRNA from 2 species
UAAGCAUAUCAAUAAGCGGAGGAAAAGAAACCAACAGGGAUUGCCCUAGUAACGGCGAGUGAAGCGGCAACAGCUCAAAUUUGAAAUCUGGCCCUAGUGGUCCGAAUUGUAAUUUGUAGAGGAUGCUUUGGGCGCGGUGCCUUCCGAGUUCCUUGGAACAGGACGCCUUAGAGGGUGAGAGCCCCGUACGGUUGGACACCAAGCCUAUGUAAAGCUCCUUCGACGAGUCGAGUAGUUUGGGAAUGCUGCUCUAAAUGGGAGGUAAAUUUCUUCUAAAGCUAAAUACCGGCCAGAGACCGAUAGCGCACAAGUAGAGUGAUCGAAAGAUGAAAAGUACUUUGAAAAGAGGGUUAAAUAGCACGUGAAAUUGUUGAAAGGGAAGCAUUUAUGACCAGACCUUUGCUAGGUGGAUCAUCCGGUGUUCUUCACCGGUGCACUUCGCCUAGCUUAGGCCAGCAUCGAUUUCUGUAGGGGGAUAAAGGUCUAGGGAACGUAGCUCUCUUCGGAGAGUGUUAUAGCCCUGGGCGUAAUACCCUUACGGGGAUCGAGGUUCGCGCUUCGGCAAGGAUGCUGGCAUAAUGGUCAUCAAUGACCCGUCUUGAAACACGGACCAAGGAGUCGAACAUUUAUGCGAGUGUUUGGGUGUCAAACCCUCACGCGUAAUGAAAGUGAACGGAGGUGAGAGCCCUUACGGGUGCAUCAUCGACCGAUCCUGAUGUCUUCGGAUGGAUUUGAGUAAGAGCAUAACUGUUCGGACCCGAAAGAUGGUGAACUAUGCGUGGAUAGGGUGAAGCCAGAGGAAACUCUGGUGGAGGCUCGCAGCGGUUCUGACGUGCAAAUCGAUCGUCAAAUCUGCGCAUGGGGGCGAAAGACUUAUCGAACCAUCUAGUAGCUGGUUACCGCCGAA